UACGUAGGGUGCAAGCGUUGUCCGGAAUUAUUGGGCGUAAAGAGCUCGUAGGCGGUCUGUCGCGUCUGCUGUGAAAAUCCAGGGCUCAACCCUGGACCUGCAGUGGGUACGGGCAGACUAGAGUGCGGUAGGGGAGAUCGGAAUUCCUGGUGUAGCGGUGAAAUGCGCAGAUAUCAGGAGGAACACCGGUGGCGAAGGCGGAUCUCUGGGCCGUAACUGACGCUGAGGAGCGAAAGUGUGGGGAGCGAACAGG
rnacentral:rRNA from 1 species